rnacentral:rRNA from 1 species
UACGUAGGGGGCAAGCGUUGUCCGGAUUUAUUGGGCGUAAAGAGCGUGUAGGCGGCCAGGUAGGUCCGCUGUGAAAACUCGAGGCUCAACCUCGAGAUGUCGGCGGAAACCAUCUGGCUAGAGUCCGGAAGAGGAGAGUGGAAUUCCUGGUGUAGCGGUGAAAUGCGCAGAUAUCAGGAAGAACACCCGUGGCGAAGGCGGCUCUCUGGGACGGUACUGACGCUGACACGCGAAAGCUAGGGGAGCGAAUGGG